UACGUAGGUGGCAAGCGUUGUCCGGAAUUAUUGGGCGUAAAGCGCGCGCAGGCGGUCUUUUAAGUCUGAUGUGAAAGCCCACGGCUCAACCGUGGAAGGUCAUUGGAAACUGGGAGACUUGAGUACAGAAGAGGAGAGUGGAAUUCCACGUGUAGCGGUGAAAUGCGUAGAUAUUGGGAGGAACACCAGUGGCGAAGGCGGCUCACUGGACCGGUACUGACGCUGAGGCGCGAAAGCGUGGGGAGCGAACAGG
rnacentral:rRNA from 1 species